AGUGAACGCUGGCGGUAGGCCUAACACAUGCAAGUCGAACGGCAGCACAGUAAGAGCUUGCUCUUACGGGUGGCGAGUGGCGGACGGGUGAGGAAUACAUCGGAAUCUACUUUUUCGUGGGGGAUAACGUAGGGAAACUUACGCUAAUACCGCAUACGACCUACUGGUGAAAGCAGGGGAUCUUCGGACCUUGCGCGAUUGAAUGAGCCGAUGUGGGAUUAGCUAGUUGGCGGGGGAAAGGCCCACCAAGGCGACGAUCCGUAUCUGGUCUGAGAGGAUGAUCAGCCACACUGGAACUGAGACACGGUCCAGACUCCUACGGGAGGCAGCAGUGGGGAAUAUUGGACAAGGGGCGAAAGCCUGAUCCAGCAAUACCGCGUGGGUGAAGAAGGCCUUCGGGUUGUAAAGCCCUUUUGUUGGGAAAGAAAAGCAGCAGGUUAAUACCCCGCUGUUAUGACGGUACCCAAAGAAUAAGCACCGGCUAACUUCGUG
rnacentral:rRNA from 1 species